rnacentral:miRNA from 1 species
GCCAUGUUGAUUUGGUGGCU